CUCCCAAGUUCCUCCGUGUCUAGUGUCAUGCUUUUGUUUUUGACCUUUCUCUGGCCUCCCCUUCACAUAGGCUCUUUGACCUGCCCAUCUUUGGACUUUGCUGUUAGGAGCCACCCUCUGCCACCACUACAGCCUUCACACUCUGUGUUCUGAUACCUUCUUCAUCCCAUUUCUGCCAUCUCCCAGCUCCAUCAUUAGUGAGUGUUUCCCCUGACUUUGCCAUUCCUUUUGUUUUGGAACUCUAAUUGAGCCUUCUUACCAGUUGUAUUCUUGAAAAGCACCAACACCAUAGCUGGGUCGGGGUCUUCACUGCUCAUCUUCAUACACACGCACACCCCCACACACACCCCAUUUUGUGACUACCUUGACCUUCCAGUUUUUUUGUUUGGUUUCUAACCACCUAAUCUUCCAGACAUACUGAAAUCUCUGAUCACCUGUGGCCCACUGAGAAAACUACAGUAGGUG
rnacentral:lncRNA from 1 species